rnacentral:rRNA from 1 species
AUUGAACGCUGGCGGCAGGCCUAACACAUGCAAGUCGAGCGGAGCGGCGGACGGGCGAGUAAUGCAUAGCAAUCUGCCUGGUAGUGGGGGAUAACGACCGGCAACGGGCGCUAAUACCUCCCACAAUCAGUCGAGUCUAGGGGGGAUUAGCUAGCUGGUGGGGUAAAGGCCUACCCAGGCGACGAUCCGUAACUGGUUUGAGAGGAUGAUCAGUCACACUGGAACUGAGACACGGUCCAGACUCCUACGGGAGGCAGCAGUGGGGAAUAUUGGACAAUGGGCGAAAGCCUGAUCCAGCCAUGCCGCGUGUGUGAAGAAGGUCUUCGGAUUGUAAAGCACUUUAAGUUGGGAGGCGUUACCAGCAGAAUAAGCACCGGCUAACUUCGUGCCAGCCGCCGCGGUAAUUC